AACGCACGAGACCUGCGGACCUGCGGAAGGAUCAUUAAUGAGAAACUGCCCCUCGCGGGUAGAUCUCCCACCCUUUGUAAACUUACCUUUGUUGCUUUGGCAGGCCCGUCUCCGGACCGCCGGCUUCGGCUGGCCAGUGCCUGCCAGAGGAUUCCAAAACUCUGUCUGUCAGUGUUGUCUGAGUCUAUAUACAAUCGUUAAAACUUUCAACAAUGGAUCUCUAGAUCGGAAGAGCACACG
rnacentral:misc_RNA from 1 species